AUGGUAGCUCAGUGGUAGAGCAUCUGCUUCACAUACAGAAGGUCCCUGGUUCAAUCUUCAGUAUUCCCAGGUAGGGCUG